AAUUGCUAGUAAUGGCAGGUCAGCAUACUGCCGUGAAUACGUUCCCGGGCCCUUGUACACACCGCCCGUCACACCAUGAGAGUUGGGGAUACCCGAAGCCUGUGAGCUAACAGUAAUGAAGCAGCAGUCGAAGGUAGAAUCAAUGAUUGGGGUGAAGUCGUAACAAGGUAGC
rnacentral:rRNA from 1 species